GUACAUCCCUCGGAGCGUUCUGUCAUCCUCAUCAACUUCUGCCUGUCCAUCAUCUCCUCCAAUGCCCUCAUUCCUCAUCGGGCAGACCCAGACCCGAAACAAGGUGGUGUGCACGCUGGUGGCCGCCUUCCUGCACUUCUUCUUCCUGUCCUCCUUCUGCUGGGUGCUCACCGAGGCCUGGCAGUCCUACAUGGCCGUGACGGGCCACCUCCGGAACCGCCUCAUCCGCAAGCGCUUCCUCUGCCUGGGCUGGGGGCUCCCUGCACUGGUGGUGGCCAUUUCCGUGGGAUUCACCAAGGCCAAAGGGUACAGCACCAUGAACUACUGCUGGCUCUCCCUGGAGGGAGGACUGCUCUAUGCCUUCGUGGGACCGGCUGCUGCCGUUGUGCUGGUGAACAUGGUCAUUGGGAUCCUGGUGUUCAACAAGCUCGUGUCCAAAGACGGCAUCACGGACAAGAAGCUGAAGGAGCGGGCAGGGGCCUCCCUGUGGAGCUCCUGCGUGGUGCUGCCGCUGCUGGCGCUGACCUGGAUGUCGGCCGUGCUCGCCGUCACCGACCGCCGCUCCGCCCUCUUCCAGAUCCUCUUCGCCGUCUUCGACUCGCUGGAGGGCUUUGUCAUCGUCAUGGUGCACUGUAUCCUCCGUAGAGAGGUCCAGGACGCUGUGAAAUGUCGUGUGGUUGACCGGCAGGAGGAGGGCAACGGAGACUCGGGAGGCUCCUUCCAGAACGGCCACGCACAGCUCAUGACCGACUUCGAGAAGGACGUGGAUCUGGCCUGUAGAUCAGUGCUGAACAAGGACAUCGGCCUGCCGUACAGCCACCAUCACGGGCACACUGAAGCGGCCGUCUCUGCCUGAGGAGGAGAAGCUGAACUGGCCCAUGCCAAGGGGCCGCCCACCAAUUUCAACAGCCUGCCGGCCAACGUGUCCAAGCUGCACCUGCCACGGCUCACCCCGUUAUCCCGGCGGGCCCCUGCCCGACUUCCCCAACCACUCACUGACCCUCAAGAGGGACAAGGCGCCCAAGUCCUCCUUCGUCGGUGACGGGGACAUCUUCAAGAAGCUGGACUCGGAGCUGAGCCGGGCCCAGGAGAAGGCUCUGACACGAGCUACGUGAUCUUACCCACGGCCACGGCCACGCUGCGGCCCAAGCCCAAGGAGGAGCCCAAGUACAGCAUCCACAUUGACCAGAUGCCGCAGACCCGCCUCAUCCACCUCAGCACGGCACCCGAGGCCACCCCUCCCUGCCCGCAGCCCGCCCUCCCGCCAGGCCCCCAGUGGCGGGCCCCUGAGGCGCCCCCUGCCCAGCCCCCACCGCCCCCGCCCCCACCUCCCCACCUCCCCAGCAACCCCUGCCCCCACCGCCCAGUCUGGAGCCAGCACCCCCCAGCCUGGGGGAGCCCGGGGAGCCUGCGGCCCAUCCGGGACCCAGCACGGGGCCCAGCACCAAGAACGAGAAUGUCGCCACCUUGUCUGUGAGCUCCCUGGAGCGGCGGAAGUCUCGGUAUGCAGAACUGGACUUUGAGAAGAUCAUGCACACCCGGAAGCGGCACCAAGACAUGUUCCAGGACCUGAACCGGAAGCUGCAGCACGCAGCGGAGAAGGACAAGGAGGUGCUGGGCCCGGACAGCAAGCCAGAAAAGCAGCAGACGCCCAACAAGAGGCCUUGGGAGAGCCUCCGGAAAGCCCACGGGACGCCCACGUGGGUGAAGAAGGAGCUGGAGCCGCUGCAGCCGUCGCCGCUGGAGCUUCGCAGCGUGGAGUGGGAGAGGUCGGGUGCCACGAUCCCGCUGGUGGGCCAGGACAUCAUCGACCUCCAGACCGAGGUCUGAGCGGGUGGGCGGCGGCCACGCACUGGGCCAUGGAGGAGGGAUGCUGCUCCGCUCGCUCCUGCCGCAGACGGGCACAGACACGCUCGCGGGCGGCGGGCCAGGCCCGCGCCCCGGCCUCAGGGCGCUCAGACGGCGGCCAGGCACAGGGCCCGCAGUGCUGGGACCAGAGCCAGAUGCAGGACAGGAGGCAGCCCGGCCAGCGGGCACAGGGCACCAGAGGCUGAAGGUGACUCAGACUCUGCCCUCCUCGGGCCGAGGCCCGGCGGGCAGAUGGGCAGACGGCUGUGGACCAUGGACAGGCCCAGUGCGGCCAGCGUCCCAGGGUGCCCACCUGAGCUCCUGCUGCGGAGGACCAGCCUGCUUGGCCCGGCCGGCCUGGCACCGUUUUUUAAACACCCCCAUCCCUUGGGAAGCAGCCAGCCCCCUACACCUUCCAGGGCCCUGGGCCCCUCCUAGACCCAGGUGGAGAGCACAGCCCUCCGACCCUCACGGCCCCCAGGGGCAGGACUGAGCCCCCUCCAGGAAGAAGCAGGGGGGAAUCUAUUUUUUCUCUCCUUUUCUUUUCUUCAAUAAAAAGAAUUAAAAACCCA